AAGCGAGCUCAAGGUACUGAAUGAGGCUCGCCGCUCGUGUGCACUUUAAUUAAUGCUCGAAAUUGUACAAAUAUAACCCGUUCAUAAUUCGCCAUACACGUCUUUACUGUAGUCUCUUCUUCUUUUUGAAUUUCUUAGCUAAUUGCGUUGUCAGAGGAGGUGUUCUUGGUAAAGACCACCAGGUGCUGACAGUAAAUUUUGAGCAGCAAGUUGGAAAUAUAGUCAAUUGGUUUUAUCCAUAAUCAUAUUAAAACCGAAUUAUAUUUGAGUUUUUUUCCUGUGAUGGCUUUGUGUUCGCCGCAGUAUUUUAUGCCUCCAGAAACUUGCAGACCCAUGGGGGUACUGAAUGUUCUUGGACGAAGAGUUGGCCCCGUAAAAAUUGUUAAAGAAAAGAGUGGGCUUUUAGGUAUUAGUCAAAAGAGUGGUUCAAAUGUUCCUCGGUGCAAAUGUUCGACCAACUCUCACAGUGUUAAUCAAUUUCAAGGUAAGGACCCAUUUCUGAAUCUUCACCCAGAGAUUUCUAUGCUAAGAGGCGAGACAUAUGCCACAAUGACCAACCCAAGACUGGACAGCUUGAGCGGAAGUGUUACUGAAAGUUCAAGUGAUUUGUCAAGUUUGAACAAUUACAAUGAGGCCAAGAUCAUGGUUAUUGGCGUUGGAGGUGGUGGGUCAAAUGCAGUUAAUCGUAUGAUUGAGAGUGCAAUGAAGGGUGUGGAAUUCUGGAUUGUUAACACUGAUAUUCAGUCCAUGAGUAUGUCCCCUGUGUUCUCUGAGAAUCGGUUGCAAAUUGGUCAAGAGUUAACCAGAGGACUUGGUGCUGGUGGGAACCCAGACAUUGGGAUGAAUGCUGCUAAAGAAAGCAAAGAAGCUAUAGAAGAGGCGGUUUAUGGAUCUGACAUGGUGUUUGUUACUGCUGGAAUGGGUGGGGGGACAGGAACUGGUGGAGCUCCUGUAAUUGCAGGGAUUGCAAAGUCAAUGGGUAUCUUGACCGUGGGUAUAGUCACAACUCCAUUUUCUUUUGAGGGACGAAGAAGAGCUGUACAAGCUCAAGAAGGAAUUGCAGCUUUGAGAGAGAAUGUUGAUACACUGAUAGUCAUUCCAAAUGAUAAAUUAUUGACUGCUGUUUCCCCAUCUACUCCAGUAACAGAAGCAUUCAACCUUGCCGAUGACAUUCUUCGACAAGGUGUUCGUGGAAUCUCUGAUAUAAUCACGAUUCCUGGGCUAGUGAAUGUAGAUUUUGCAGAUGUGCGAGCUAUUAUGGCAAAUGCUGGUUCUUCAUUGAUGGGGAUAGGGACCGCAACAGGAAAGACCAGGGCUAGAGACGCUGCGUUAAAUGCCAUUCAAUCUCCUUUACUGGAUAUUGGGAUAGAGAGGGCCACAGGAAUUGUGUGGAAUAUAACUGGUGGCAGCGAUUUAACCUUGUUUGAGGUAAAUGCUGCAGCGGAGGUUAUCUAUGAUCUCGUGGAUCCGAGUGCUAACCUGAUAUUUGGUGCUGUAAUAGAUCCAUCAAUAAGUGGGCAAGAAUGGAGUAGGGAGAUGCAUGCUAAAUGUACUGCAAAAUCUGUUAGCUGUGGUGCUAGAAAAGGCAGAUCACCAGUUUAUGCUGAUGGAAUCUGCAUUCUUUUCUCUCUCUUGUAAUUUUUCCAUGGUAACCAGUGUUAAAUCCAGCAUGAGGGCAACAUGACUUGGGGGAAGCUAGAGGAUGGGGUGGGGAACUUUGGAUAAUUUGAAUAUUGACCUAGCAGGAAUAAUAAACAUAAAAAAACUUGAAUUCUUAUGAUAAAUUAAAUUGUGACUUUUCCCUUUGAAGGAAACAUUUACUUUUUGAAACUUGGGGGCAUUGCCAUCCAUGAUUUUCCAUGCUUUUCCUCUUUAAUUUGACUUAUGAAGGGGAGAUUUAGUGAUCAGAAGUUAUGAUUGGAUGUAACUUUUUUACUAUCAAGAGCUUCAAAUGUUUGUGCAGAAGAAGCUGAGCUUGUCAAAAGUAAGUUGAGGUUUAAUUUAUCGUAAUCAUGCUGUACUUACUGUUUGAAAUAUAUUUAUACUAUACUUGCACGUUGACUUUUUGUACUAAAUUAUAUUAAAGCAUGAGUAGCAGAAUUGGUUGUAUUUACCCUAACAGAUAGCUGAUCUGUGCUUUGAGAUGCCAAAUUUAAUAUUAGACAUCUAUUGCAGACAUUUGUGUAGAAUUAUAAACUUUAAUGUGUUAAGCUAGAUGACUGUAACCUCAAUGAGGUCUUAAAAUAUUCAAUUUGAAGAUGGUGGCUGUUUCAGCUGGAAUUUUUUUUUUUUUCUUUUUUUUUAAGCAAAUGCAUAAGAAAUAAUGCUAACUGGACAAGUAAAAACCAAAUAACUCAUCAAGGAACUUAUUUUUCUUCUAUCCCCUUCUGUAUUUUUCCGUUAUCAUAAUGGUGGGUGGGUUUGGUUUGGGGUUAUCAAGUAUGAAAUUUGACAGUCUUUUGGUUAAUAACUUGAAACAAUCAUGUUUGUGGGACUUUGAUCGAUUGGUUUGGUUUG